rnacentral:ncRNA from 2 species
GAUAAGUGCAGACGUCGUGGUUCUUCGAGAGGCACUUUCUUUCGAAGCUAAGAGGGAAGCCGGUGUAACGCCGGCGCUGCCCCCGCAACUGUAAGCGGUGAGCCACCGUUCAACUUCAGCCACUGAAGCGAAAGCUUUGGGAAGGCCGGACGGUAGCUGAGACCCGUGAGCCAGGAGACCUGCCUCGACAACAUACACGUC